AGUGGCGAACGGGUGAGUAACACGUGAGUAACCUGCCCCUUUCUCUGGGAUAACUCCGGGAAACCGGUGCUAAUACUGGAUACGACCCGAGCGGGCAUCCGCAUCGGGUGGAAAGUUUUUCGGUAAGGGAUGGACUCGCGGCCUAUCAGCUUGUUGGUGGGGUAAUGGCCUACCAAGGCGACGACGGGUAGCCGGCCUGAGAGGGCGACCGGCCACACUGGGACUGAGACACGGCCCAGACUCCUACGGGAGGCAGCAGUGGGGAAUAUUGCACAAUGGGCGAAAGCCUGAUGCAGCGACGCCGCGUGAGGGAUGACGGCCUUCGGGUUGUAAACCUCUUUCAGCAGGGAAGAAGCUUUUGUGACGGUACCUGCAGAAGAAGCACCGGCUAACUACGUGCCAGCAGCCGCGGUAAUACGUAGGGUGCGAGCGUUGUCCGGAAUUAUUGGGCGUAAAGAGCUUGUAGGCGGUUUGUCGCGUCUGCUGUGAAAACUCGGGGCUUAACUCCGAGCGUGCAGUGGGUACGGGCAGACUAGAGUAUGGUAGGGGAGACUGGAAUUCCUGGUGUAGCGGUGGAAUGCGCAGAUAUCAGGAGGAACACCGAUGGCGAAGGCAGGUCUCUGGGCCAUAACUGACGCUGAGAAGCGAAAGCAUGGGUAGCGAACAGGAUUAGAUACCCUGGUAGUCCAUGCCGUAAACGUUGGGCGCUAGGUGUGGGACUCAUUCCACGAGUUCCGUGCCGCAGCUAACGCAUUAAGCGCCCCGCCUGGGGAGUACGGCCGCAAGGCUAAAACUCAAAGGAAUUGACGGGGGGCCCGCACAAGCGGCGGAGCAUGCGGAUUAAUUUCGAUGCAACGCGAAGAACCUUUACCAAGGGCUUGACAUAUACCGGGAAACACCCAGAGAUGGGUUGCCCCGCAAGGGUCGGUAUACAGGUGGUGCAUGGUUGUCGUUCAGCUUCGUUGGUCGUUGAGAUGGUUUGGGGUUUAAGUUCCC
rnacentral:rRNA from 1 species